GACGAACGCUGGCGGCGGGCUUAACACAUGCAAGUCGAACGGAAAGGCCCUGCUUUUGUGGGGUGCUCGAGUGGCGAACGGGUGAGUAACACGUGAGUAACCUGCCCUUGACUUUGGGAUAACUUCAGGAAACUGGGGCUAAUACCGGAUAGGAGCUCCUGCUGCAUGGUGGGGGUUGGAAAGUUUCGGCGGUUGGGGAUGGACUCGCGGCUUAUCAGCUUGUUGGUGGGGUAGUGGCUGACCAAGGCUUUGACGGGUAGCCGGCCUGAGAGGGUGACCGGCGACAUUGGGACUGAGAUAGGGCCCAGACUCAUACGGUAGGCAGCAGUGGGGAAUAUUGCACAAUGGGCGGAAGCCUGAUGCAGCAACGCCGCGUGCGGGAUGACGGCCUUCGGGUUGUAAACCGCUUUCGCCUGUGACGAAGCGUGAGUGACGGUAAUGGGUAAAGAAGCACCGGCUAACUACGUG
rnacentral:rRNA from 1 species